GACGAACGCUGGCGGCGUGCUUAACACAUGCAAGUCGAACGGACAGGCCCUGAUCUUGCGGGGUGCUCGUGUGGCGAACGGGUGAGUAUAACGCGUGUAUAAUGCCCUUGUCUUUGGGAGAACAUCACGAAAAUGGGGAUCAUACCGGAUAGGAGAUCUUGCUGCAUGGUGGGGGUUGGAAAGUUUCGGCGGUUGGGGCUGGACUAGCGGCUUAUCCGCUUGUUUGUGAGGUAGUGGCUUACCAAGGCUUUGACGGGUAGCCGGCCUGAGAGCGUGACCGGCGACAUUGGGACUGAGAGACGGCCCAGACUCCUACGGGAGGCAGCAGUGGGGAAUAUUGCACAAUGAGCGGAAGCCAGAUGCAGCGACGCCGCGUGCGGGAUGACGUCCUUCGGGUUGUAAACCGCUUUCGCCUGUGACGAAGCGUGAGUGACGGUAAUGAGUAAAGAAGCAACGGCUAACUACGUG
rnacentral:rRNA from 1 species